rnacentral:rRNA from 1 species
CCCUGCCUUUUGUACACACCGCCCGUCGCUACUACCGAUUGAACGUUUUAGUGAGGUCCUCGGACUGUUUGCCUGGCGGAUUACUCUGCCUGGCUGGCGGGAAGACGACCAAACUGUAGCGUUUAGAG